CGACAAUACCGGUAAAUAAUAUUUUUAUUUUUUUUAAUUCCUCCUCUGGAUUUCCCCAAUCACUCCUCCCGCACGCGAAUGAAGCUGCCAAAUAAAACGUCGUUUCUAUCAAUGCUAUCGGGAAGAGUAAAUCUUUUGUGAGAUAGUAAAGUUCGCUUUCACUGUGUUCUUCAUCGUCUGCAGACAUUUUAAUAUUUUAAAAAGUAGCCUUUAAACUCGUCUUUAAAUUUUGAAAAAUAAAAACAUUGGCUCUACGGCUUUAAAUCUCGUGCGGUCCGUACGGGCUCAUACGGACCGCUCACGUAGCCAAUCAGAUUGCAGAAAAGCGUAAAAUAUGACUUCGGACCGCAAGAAAAAAAAUAAAAUUUCAUAUUUUACUACAAG
rnacentral:lncRNA from 1 species